AGCUGGAGUGGACAGGACGGCUUUCGAGAUUUGGCGCGGCCUUUGUCUCUGGCUGCAGUCGUAGCUCCAGGUCUUUUCUUCUCUGUUCUGUGUCUUCUGCUCCUAGAGGCCCAGCUUCUGUGUCCCUGUGACCUGUAGGUAUUGGGAGAUCCACAGCUAAGAUGCCAGGACCCCCUGGGCCUUUUUCUUCCUAGGUUCUGCCUGCAAAGAAGAUUGUGACAUAUUGCUGGUUGCAACACCACGGUGAUGUUACUUUUUGCCUUCUCACUGCCCUCAGAAGGCAUUGUGAUAUGUUGGUGGUCCCCUUUCUUUUUUCAGACUUGUCUGCAGCGCAGAUUGCUACAUAUUGCUUGGCCCAGCUCCUAUGUGAUGUGACUCUCCUGUCAUACCUGAUCUCACUUUUUCUAGAUGGGCAACAGACCAACUUCAGCUUGCAACCCUCUGGAGUGCAUUCUGUAACACUGGAACUUCUUUAACCUCCGGACUUUGAAGAAGAAAGCAACCAUUUUCUUUUGCACAAGGGCAUGACAUUUAUACUACACCUUUGCAGGUAGUGUAAGAUCAACCCAGCUUUUUAAAAAGUCAUAUCAGGCAGGCUUAUAGAAAAUGAUUCACCAGAAUUAGAAAAGCAAGUUCCAGGGAAGCCAUUUGAGAAUCCCCCUUAUUUAGAGCCAUCUCAAGUUCUCUUAUUACAAGACCUUAGCCAAAUAAAGGAAGACUUAGGCUGAUUUUCUGACAACCCCCAAUAGGUAUAUAGAAGCUUUCCAAAAUUUGACUCAGGUGUUUCACCUCACAUAGAAGGAUGUUGUGCUGCUCCUAAACCAAACCCUAACUGCAGCUGAAAAGCAGGCAGCUCUACAGGCAGCAGAGAAUUGCAGAAAUGAACAAUAUGUCGCCUAUAAUGCACCAAAAUUUAAAAAGGAGAAAGUGAAGAAAUAACAGAAACACCAUUCCCAAUAGGAAGGGAAGCAGUUCCUCUUUACAACCCUGGUUGGAACUCCAAUAGCUCUGCAGAUAAAUGGAAAAAAAAAAAAACACUUUAAUAUGCAUAUUAGAGGGUUUAUGAAUAGGGACAAAUCUCUUACUCUAAACUGUCCAUGAGGACAAAUCUCUUACUCUAAACUGUCCAUGAUAGACCAAAUGCCAGAAAAGAGUCUUGCAGCCUUUAUGAAAAGGCAGAGAGAGGCACUAAUAGAGCAUAUCUCCUUUUCUUCUGAUCCAAUCAACAAAUAGUGCAUUCUAAAGGACAGGUUUAUUACG
rnacentral:lncRNA from 1 species